GCAGUGGUGAGGAGUCCCACAAUAGGACGAAACGGCCGUCCAGUGC
rnacentral:hammerhead_ribozyme from 1 species